GUCGUUAUGUCUUGACGAGUAAGAGGGUCGCGACGGUGAGCGCAGAAGGGUCAGGGCGAGAGCCUGCCUGGAGCCACCGUCGGCGCAGAUCUUGGUGGUAGUAGCAAAUACUCUAGCGAGGGCCUGGAGGACUGACGUGGAGAAGGGUUUCUUGUGAACAGCCGUUGCACAAGAGUCAGUCGACCCUGAGCCCUAGGAGAAAUCCUAUGUCGAUGGGUGGCUUGACAAAAAAGGACACGAAAACUAUUUUGUUGUGCCUUAUUGAACAGCCCCUGUUGGGCAAAAGGGAAUCCGGUUCCUAUUCCGGAACCCGGCUGCGUAACCGCCACUUUGCGAGCAAUCGUUCGCGAGCGCUCGUCGGGGUAACCCAAACUGGCCUGGAGACGCCGGCGGGGGGUCUGGAAAGAGUUUUCUUUUCUUUAUAAGCGUUCGAGUACCCUGGAAUCCUAUAGCAGGGAGAUAGGGUUUGGAACGCGAAGAGCACCGCAGUUGCGGCGGUGUCCGGACCUUCCCCCCGGACCUUGAAAAUCCAGGUGAGGGCCACGCGGAAGUCGCGCCGG
rnacentral:rRNA from 1 species